AAGUCGAGCGGUAGAGAAAAGCUUGCUUUUCUUGAGAGCGGCGGACCGGGUGAGUAAUGCCUAGGAAUCUGCCUGGUAGUGGGGGAUAACGUCCGGAAACGGACGCUAAUACCGCAUACGUCCUACGGGAGAAAGCAGGGGACCUUCGGGCCUUGCGCUAUCAGAUGAGCCUAGGUCGGAUUAGCUAGUUGGUGAGGUAAUGGCUCACCAAGGCGACGAUCCGUAACUGGUCUGAGAGGAUGAUCAGUCACACUGGAACUGAGACACGGUCCAGACUCCUACGGGAGGCAGCAGUGGGGAAUAUUGGACAAUGGGCGAAAGCCUGAUCCAGCCAUGCCGCGUGUGUGAAGAAGGUCUUCGGAUUGUAAAGCACUUUAAGUUGGGAGGAAGGGUUGUAGAUUAAUACUCUGCAAUUUUGACGUUACCGACAGAAUAAGCACCGGCUAACUCUGUGCCAGCAGCCGCGGUAAUACAGAGGGUGCAAGCGUUAAUCGGAAUUACUGGGCGUAAAGCGCGCGUAGGUGGUUUGUUAAGUUGGAUGUGAAAGCCCCGGGCUCAACCUGGGAACUGCAUUCAAAACUGACAAGCUAGAGUAUGGUAGAGGGUGGUGGAAUUUCCUGUGUAGCGGUGAAAUGCGUAGAUAUAGGAAGGAACACCAGUGGCGAAGGCGACCACCUGGACUGAUACC
rnacentral:rRNA from 1 species